AACGAACGCUGGCGGCAUGCCUAACACAUGCAAGUCGAACGGGAUCCUAGCUUGCUAGGUGAGAGUGGCGGACGGGUGAGUAACACGUGGGAAUCUGCCUUUUUGGUUCGGGAUAACCGCGGGAAACUGCGGCUAAUACCGAAUGCCCUCGAGAGAGGAAAGAUUUAUCGCCAGAAGAGGAGCCCGCGUCCGAUUAAGGGUAGUUUGGUGGGGGUUAAAAGGCCUACCAAGCCGACGAUCGGUAGCUGGUCUGAGAGGAUGAUCAGCCACACUGGGACUGAGAUACGGCCCAGACUCCUACGGGAGGCAGCAGUGGGGAAUAUUGGACAAUGGGGGCAACCCUGAUCCAGCAAUGCCGCGUGAGUGAUGAAGGCCUUAGGGUUGUAAAGCUCUUUUGUCCAGGGAAGAUGAUGACUGUACUGGAGAA
rnacentral:rRNA from 1 species